AUUGAACGCUGGCGGCAGGCCUAACACAUGCAAGUCGAGCGAGCGGCGGACGGUUGAGUAAUGUAUGGGGACUGCCCGAUAGAGGGGGAUAACUCCUGGAAACGGUAUCUAAUACCGCAUACUAUCGGAUAACCCAUAUGGGAUUAGCUAGUCGGUGAGGUAAUGGCUCACCUAGGCGACGAUCCCUAGCUGGUCUGAGCGGUUGAUCAGCCACACUGGGACUGAGACACGGCCCAGACUCCUACGGAGGCAGCAGUGGGGAAUAUUGCACAAUGGGCGCAAGCCUGAUGCAGCCAUGCCGCGUGUAUGAAGAAGGCCCUAGGGUUGUAAAGUACUUUCAGUCGGGAGGCGUUACCGACAGAAGAAGCACCGGCUAACUCCGUGCCAGCAGCCGCGGUAAUUC
rnacentral:rRNA from 1 species